rnacentral:rRNA from 1 species
AUUGAACGCUGGCGGCAGGCCUAACACAUGCAAGUCGAGCGAGCGGCGGACGGGUGAGUAAUGUAUGGGGACUGCCCGAUAGAGGGGGAUAACUACUGGAAACGGUGGCUAAUACCGCAUACUAUCGGAUAACCCAUAUGGGAUUAGCUAGUAGGUGGGGUAAAGGCCCACCUAGGCGACGAUCUCUAGCUGGUCUGAGAGGGUGAUCCGCAACACUGGGACUGAGACACGGCCAGGACUCCUCCGGAGGCAGCGGUGGGGAAUAUUGGCCAAUGGGGGCAAUCCUGAUGCAGCCAUGCCGCGUGUAUGAAGAAGGCUUUAGGGUUGUAAAUUACGUUCAGCGGGGAGGCGUUACCCGCAGAAGAAGCACCGGCUAACUCCGUGCCAGCAGCCGCGGUAAUAC